AGACUCCAUCUCAAAAAAAGAAAGAGAGAGAGAGAGAAGGAAGGAAGGAAGGAAAGAAUAACCGCAUAACCACUGAACUAACAAUGAAAUACCCUUGACAAACAAUAGAGACACGUAUUCCCCCAGAACACCAACUAGAUAAAGGUAUUAAAUUCCUAGUGACUCAAAUUACUGUGAUAAUAUCUCAGCACUGUUUGAAAGGGUCCACUGAAUUCCAAUUAUAUAAAUAUUAAGCUUUUAUUCACCUGCCUAAUGGGAUUAUCUGUCACCAGGGAUCACACGAUUUUUUUUUUCUCUCUUUUUCUGCAAAAGAUGUUGCCAGUGCCUGCCUGUAUGAGUGGAGAUGGAAAAUCACCCCGACCAGAUCAUUGUGCCUUUUUUGCACUGAGAAAGCUUGAGUGAUGACUAGGAGAAAGGAUAUUGCAGAGGAAUGCCCAGUUUGACCGGAUCACCUGGGACCAGCCAGUGCUGGGCAGCCCCCAGUCCCUUGAGUCAGGAGGAUCACGUGACAGCUAGGCUUUAUAAGGAAGUAAAAACAACUGGUGAAGAGAAAAACCAUUUAUUUUCAAUACUGAAGAGGCAAGAGUUUCUCGCCCUCUCCCUCGGGGAGCUACAUCUUUCCUUGUAUUUUUUGGCAUGAACAAGUUGUAGGAAGGGUGGAUCAGUGCCUUCCUGCAGACUCCAGCAGUGUUUCAGGCAGCUCUGGUUUAGUGGGACAUACACUAGCUUAAGUUUGAAAACACUUGGAUACUAACCGUGCUACUUUGGAGCAAGCCAUUUAAUCUCCCUGAGCCCCAGAACAUUCAUCUAUGCAGUAAGGAUAGUAAUACUUCAACUGACCACCUCGAGGUAUGAUUAAAUAUCCGAUGAUAUAUUGUACAUGAAAGCAUUUAUCAACUGCAAGCCAUGAUACUAAUGUGAGGAUUGUAGAGUUGCCUUUGUUUGCCUCAGAGCAGAUUUAAUUCUGGGGUGCUGGAGAGAAGUAGGAGAGGUUCAGCUCCAGCCCUGUCUCAUAUCCCCACGUCUGAGAGGCUGGAAGAUAAACGAGUGGAUCUUCAGUUGGCACCUCCCACUUCUCCAUCGGUAGAAAGAAAAGACUGGUUUUCAGAUUUCCCCCUACCCCAUGAAGUAAGAGUCCCUUCCUCUAAAUGUUAAAGACAUUUAUUAACUAUCUAGAUUUUCCUUGACUUCUGCUUCUUUAUUUAGGCUAUGUUGUUCAAUAGGAUAGCCACGAGUGAUUUGUGGUUAUUGAACCCAAGAAAUACGGUUAAUCAAAAUUAAGAUGUGCUGUUAGUGAAGAAUACAUGCCAGGUUUUGAAGACAAUAGUCCAAAAAUACCUGAAAGACUGUAAACUAUCUCACUAAUGUUUUUUAGUUGAUUUCACAUUGUAGAGAUAAUAUUUUAGAUAUAUCGGAUUGUGUA